rnacentral:lncRNA from 1 species
AAGCAGAAAGUAGAAGGAGCUCCAAAGGCAGUGAGCGUCUUUCCUUGGGCUGCGUGUGCCGAGCGUAGACAAUGAAAAUCUUCAUCCCCCUCCCCCAUUCUACUAGGCUACAAGAUUCUUGUUUUCGUUCCUUCUCACCGGUGGAAGAUGUGUAAAAUCAAAGAUGUAGAGGUGUGUAGUGAUUUUUUUAAAAGCCAACUAACCACCGCACGGACUGCGACGCGGAUUACCCGAGCGCACGCCGGCUGGGCGCAUUCUGGGGUCUCUGCGCAAGACCAGCUCUCAGCUCUCUCUCCUUUCCUCGGACUCUGGAGCGGGAGCGGGCCUUUCCCUCGGGUCGACCACGCCGUAGGGGACGCCGUGAAAAGAGCCGUCGCGCCCGCUGCCUCCUGCCCGCUGCGCAGAGGGCUCCGCCCGUAGAGGUCAACUUCCCUCACCCUUUUCUCUCUCCUGCUUGCCCUCCCUCCGCCCGGCCCAGGCGCUUCCAGCCCCAGACUGUGGCCACUGGCUGAGGAGUGCGAGUCGGCUGCGCUGCCCUGAGCCUAAUCCCUCUUCCGGGCCCAGACCCGAGGUCCGCGCUCCUGGGCAGUGGGGAAGCUUUAGUGAGCAGGCUUUUCUCUCCGCAGCAAACUUGUAGCCAGACCAGAUGGGCCGCCCAGCUCUCUCGGGACUAGGCAGUGAUUAACCCAAAUUUUGACCAGACUUGAAGUUUUGAAAUAAGAAAGUGAAUUAUUUUAAAGAAGAAGAAAAAUUUGCUUCUUAUUAAUAUGUACAAUAUUUUUGCCCUUAAAACCUUUGCAAUACAUUUAUACACACACACUCAGCUUGCAAAGCCUUCUUUAGAAAAUAACCCACUCUGAGUAGAAGUAAUGAGAUAUGGUAGCAGCAUGGGCAAAGCCAUAAGAAACGUUAUUUGCAUUAAAAAUGAGUUUUUCAGUAUGGAAAAUCAAUUACCAAAUGAAAUAGAGAUUUUUUUUAAAGGUUCAAACCUUUUCAAAUUUUUAUGUUAUAGGGUUUAUAUUGAUUAAAAUAAAUGUACGUUUGUAGUUAUUCAACAUUAUGAAUUUCAAGAUGGCCACCUAUUUUGAAACGCACACCUUUGCCAUGAAGUCUGUUGUUGCAUAUAUUAGUGCUGAUGUAAUAAAAUGCUUCUAUUAACUAUGUGGUUGUUAAUAAAUCUUGUAAAAAUAAAGUUCUGUUUAUUUUAUGGUGUCAGAACAAAAUAGCUGUUUAAAAUCACUUAUUUUAGUCUUAGCUUUUAAAUCAAAAUGCCUAUAAGAAUAUUAAGUUCUAAGAUUGUUGAGAAUACUAAGAUAAAAUUAAAAAUUGUAUGAUUUUACAAUUUGCUAUAAUUUAAAAAUCUUGUAUUGAUUAAAUGUUAAAUCAGGUUAAAUAUUUGACCAAUUGUGUCAAGUUCCGUAUAAAUAUGGGUACAUUUGUCUUCUGAAAGCUAUUUCUCCAAAGAAUGCACUUACGAAUGUAUGGCAUAAUAAGUGAAAAAAUGGUAGAACUUUUAUGUUUUUAUUUUAAGUAUCCUUUUAAAAAUUAAAAAUAUUUUUUUUCUUUUACUUAAUUUAAAUUUCUUCCUAAAUAAGUGCAUAUUUUACCCAGGAGAAAAUAAACAGAGUGACAUAAAUUUGCUAUACUUCUUAUAGUUACUAUAAUCAGUUAAAAAACAACUUCUAGGCAAAUAAAAUAUAUAAUAAAAUGUAAAUUAAAAUGUAAAUAAAAUGCAACAAAUUCGUGGGUGGAAGACAUGAACAUGACUUUUUUCUAUUUUAAAAACCAUUUGAUGUAUUCUAAAAAAAGAAAAAGAAAAGAAAAA